rnacentral:rRNA from 1 species
AUUGAACGCUGGCGGCAGGCCUAACACAUGCAAGUCGAACGAGUGGCGGACGGAUUGGUAAUGUCUGGGAAACUGCCUGAUGGAGGGGGAUAAGUACUGGCAACGGUAGCUCAUACCGCAUACCAUCGGAUGUGCCCAGGUGGGAGUAGCUAGUGGGUGGGGUAAAGGCUCACCUCGGCGACGAUCCGUAGCUGGUCUGAGAGGAUGACCAGCCACACUGGAACUGAGACACGGUCCAGACUCCUACGGGAGGCAGCAGGGGGGAAUAUUGGACAAUGGGAGAAAGCCUGAUGCAGCCAUGCCGCGUGUAUGAAGAAGGUCUUCGGGUUGUAAAGCACUUUAAGCGGGGAGGCGUUACCAGCAGAAGAAGCACCGGCUAACUCCGUGCCAGCAGCCGCGGUAAUUC